GUCCAUGCCGUAAACGAUGAUUACUAGGUGUUGGGGGAUUGACCCCCUCAGUGCCGCAGUUAACACAAUAAGUAAUCCACCUGGGGAGUACGACCGCAAGGUUGAAACUCAAAGGAAUUGACGGGGGCCCGCACAAGCAGUGGAGUAUGUGGUUUAAUUCGAAGCAACGCGAAGAACCUUACCAGGUCUUGACAUCCGAUGCAUAGCACAGAGAUGUGUGAAAUCCUUCGGGACAUCGAGACAGGUGGUGCAUGGUU
rnacentral:rRNA from 1 species